AAAGUCUCCCCUUGCCGGGGAGUGUGUGGCUCUGUACAAUCCUGACCUCCUGCCAGGCCCUACCUCCUGGGCCUGUCCCGCCUCAUCUCCCUUUUCUGGAACCGAAGCCCCAAGGACGGCGGGCCUUUGCUCUCCCCAUCCACACGGGCUGGUGGCCACAGCCGCUGGAGACAGCGGCACCUGACAGCCUCCUUCCCGGGGGGCACUCAGCGCGGGUGGAUGACCCCUUGCUGGGUCUCCCUCUGAGCAGGACGGGGGACAGAAGUGGUCCCAGGAGAUCGCGCAGGGGCUGCUCCCAGCCCUGGCCUCGGCCUCAACCCCCACCCCUGUGGUCCUCUAAGAACCUUCCCCGCGGUCCCCGCCCCGUCCCGUCCCACCCUCUGCUCUGCAAGUGCUGGGUGCUGCCCCGCCCGCUCCAACCUCCUUCUCCCCGGCGCUGGUCGGGUCGGUCUGGAGGGCCAGGUCUGACCGUGAGGCGUUGGCGUUGGCCGGACUGGCUGCGCCGGACGUGGGGCCGCCUCCAUCCAGUCAAGGCGGAGCCGGCAGCCAGCGGCCAGGGGCUGGAGGCCCAGGCGCUUCCAGCCAUGGGCAGGGGCUCGCUGAGAGCUCCGGGAUUGGCGGUGCCGCGGUGGCUGCUGUCACUACUGCUGCUGUCUCGGGGGCCAGUGUCUGGCGCUUGGUUGCUUCCAGGAAAUACUUCUGGAGAGCCAGUCACCACCCCCUGGGUCCUGGAUGGACAACCCUGGCUCACCAUCGUCCUGAAAGAGCCGAUCUCGACACUAGACUCAGGCCUGGUGGCCUUGGAAGCUGAAGGCCAGGAGUUCCUGCUUGAGCUGGAGAAGAACCAGUAAGUACCAGGCUGUGGUGUGGCUGAAGUCAAGAAGAACUGAUGUGGAUCCCUGAGGUAGGCUGAAGAAAAAGGGGACUCAGAAGGGACUCAGGUGACAGUAGUCACCCUCAGCCCAUGGCUGGCCCCCUGGAGGCUGAAGUGGACUGUUAAAGCUGGGUGAGCCCCAGGGUGGGCACAUUCUAUGACCCAACUGUGCAGCAGCUCAGCAGCUUCCUGCUGGAGACCAGUGAGCACCACCUAAUGUUGAAUCUCAGCUGUUUCCACAGAUGGGACAGCACUCCAGGCUAAAGGGACAGAGGGGACAAAGAUACAGCAGCAACAAGAAUCAAAGCACAUUCAGGGCGCCAAUGUGCCUAACUGGAGAGUAAACAUCUGCAAGGAAGAAAGUGGGAGGAAAUGAGUUUAGGGGCCCCAGCAGGGACAGCUCACAAGGAAGGCAUUUUAGAGCUGCAGAUCCUGGACACACACAGCCAGAUUUUGAGCUGGUGAAUGAGCAGGUCCAUAAGGCUCAGGCUGAGUGAGUGGGUGCCCAGCAUGGAGCAUGGGGUCUUACCACCAUCCAGACUCAUUAUCCAUUGGUAUCACUUACUGAGUCUCACGGCAGGCCCUGUUCUGAGCACUGUGUGUUUUAUUCUCCCUUGUGGAGUCAGAUGCAACUGGAACAAACAAGUUCCACCAUGCUUAACCAUGGUUUCCAGGGACUCAGUGUCCCUACAUACGGAAUGGUGCGUGUGUGUGUGUGUGUGUGUGUGUGUGUGUGUGUGUCUGCACGGCAUGUGUGCACAUUCCCACACACAGUGGGGAGCAAGGCUGGAGGAGGUGGAGGAAUGAUUGGGAGGUGGAAAAGCAGAUAUCACAGGUCUUUGGGAGUCUGGAGGUAGAGGCCACGGUGAAGUUGGAGCCAAGAAUUUUCUUUAAGGAGUGAUCAGCUUACAGUUGAUCCAUCCAGGGGGAAGGGUCCUGAGGACAGAAUCAUCACUGGAAUGAACCUUGGAGAAGGUGGGAAUGGGAGUCUGUGCUCAAGGGAGCAGGGUAGGAGCAGGCGUGGGCUGUUUCCUCUGGAAGCAGGCAGUGAGCAUCAUUGAGGGGCAUCAGGAGCCGUGUUGGGUCUAGAGGCCUGAGGAGAAGAUGUGGAAGGAGAUGAAAGGGGAGGCCUGGGUAGCCAAGAGGUAGACAGCAGGCUUCCGGGCUUCCCCACAAUUCUUUGGCUCCAAGUCCCACCUUCUCAGCAGCAUCUCCUGAGCCUUCCCCUCCUGACCUGUUGGCCUAGCUGCCUGCUGCAGGUCCCAUGGGAGCACAGGCCCUCCAUCUCUUCCUGCUCCUCCCCUGGCGCUUCCCCUGCUCCCAUCUCCCACAUCUAAGCCAUCCAGAGGGCUCUUUCUGACCUUCACCUUUCUCUCUCUGAGGGUGCCUCACUCCUAGAGCUGCUCAAUUAGCAUUCAGGGAGGGAGACUGGGAGGAGGCUGGGCUAUGUGGAGUGAUUCCUAAACAUCCUCUCCCAGCAGGCUGCUGGCUGCUGGUUACACAGAAACCCACUAUAGCCAAGAUGGCCAGCCAGUGGUGCUGGUCCCCAACCACAUGGGCGAGACACUUCUGUGGGCUCUGAGGACAGGGUGAGGGUGCUGGGGAUGGCACCUGGGAUAGCUCCUCACGAUCCCUACCCCAACCCUCCAACUCCGUUCCUAGGGGAAGUUGGAGCCACCCCUCCCCUCCCCUUCCUGCUCCCGUUCCCUCUUGGCUUCUGCCCUGGCUGAGGUUUGGGCUCAGGUUCCUUCCUCUCCAGGACCACUGUCACUACCACGGAGAGUGAGGGGCUUCCCCAACUCUUCGGUUAUGCUCAGCACCUGCUCUGGGAUGAGGUGGAGCAGUUCUGGGGGCUGGGGCUUGGGCCCAGGAUGAGUCCAGAGCUCCCUGACAGCCCACUCUCACCCCUUUCCACCUAGGGGCUUGAUCAGGCUCAACAGCAAUGCCAGCUAUUACCUGCAGCCCCUGGCCACCUGGAGACCCAGAGGACCUCUCAACCCACAGGACUUUCCGGAUGGAGAGGCUGCUCACCUGGAAAGGGACCUGCCAGCUACAGUGACCCCCGAGGACAAAGGGGGCAUGGCCAGGCUUCGUCCUGCCCCUCAGAGCAGGGUCAGGGGCACAGAUCUCGUGGGAGAGUGAACACAGUGUGCCUAUGUAGUUCCCCCAAAUCAGAGGAGACAGGAGUAGGCACACUCCAGGCCGGGGCCACCCAUCCUGGUAUUUUAACUCAGAGGCUGAAGAAACAAGUUCUGGGCCAACUUUUAAGAGUGCUCUUUCUGGGAGUUGGGGUUGGUGGUCAGGCAGGACUCAAGGCCAGCAGCCUGCCACUGAAGGUCACCAUUUGCCCCUCCACAGGAGAGGCGAGAAGCCCCCAGGGGCCAGAGGUACCUGGAGCUAUACGUAGUAGCCGACCACCCCCUGGUGAGGGCAGCCCCAGGAGUUGAGCGGGUCUGGGGCGGGGCCAGCAUAGCCCCUCACUGCGCCCGCUCGGGGUUUUUCUGCCUUCCCAGUACUUGACCCAGCACCGGAACUUGAACCAUACCAAAGAGCGCGUCUCCUGGAGGUUGCCAGUUAUGCAGACCAGGUUGGGGAGGUGGGGAGAGGUGGUGCGGCAGGGCAGGGAGAGAGGUGCCGCCUCCAAGGGACCUCAAGCCUCCCCUCCUCAGAUCCUCAGGACGCUGGACAUCCAGGUGGUGCUGACAGGCCUGGAAGUGUGGACAGAGCAAGACCACAGCCGCGUCACACCCACGCCUGGCAACGCCACGCUCUGGGACUUCCUGAAGUGGCGCGGGGGCUGUGGGCACGGCUGGCCGCACGACUCGCGCGCAGCUACUCACGGGCUGCACCUUCCGGGGCGCCACUGUGGGCCUGGCGCCCGUCGAGGGCAUGUGUCGCGCAGAGAGGCUCGGGCGGUGUGAGCACGGACCACUCGGAGCUCCCCACCGGCGCUGCGGCCACCAUGGCCCAUGAGAUCGCCACAGCCUGGGCCUCAGCCACGACCUCGAUGGCUGCUGCGUGGAGGUCGCGGCAGAGCAAGGCGGCUGCAUCAUGGCCGCCGCCACGGGUACUCGCGGGCUAGGGCGGGGCCUAGGCUUAUUCCUCUGCGUGCUGCUUCACGUUAUCCCUCAGUUUCUCUUUUGUAAAAUGGUGGUGGUGACAACCACUUGUCCUCAUGGUUGUUUAUGAGGCCUCAGUGGAAGAAACGCAGGUAAAGUGGAUUCUCACGAGUAUGAAGAUUUUGAGAAAAACCUAGCAAGGUUGCUCCAACGCCGGAGCAAACGGCACGCGUAGGGCUGCGGUGUGGCUAACGCCAGGCCUGAGAAUCCAGGCUGAGUGCGGGCUGGGGUGUCCUGCGCUCCCGACGCCUCCCCCCCGCCCCUAGGCACCCGUUCCCGCGCCUCUUCAGCGCCUGCAGCCGCCGCCAACUGCGGGCCUUCUUCCGCAAGGGGGGCGGCGCGUGCCUCUACAACGCCCCAGACCCCGGGCUUCAGAUCCCGCCCACGCGCUGCGGGAACGGCUUCGUGGAAGCGGGCGAGGAGUGCGACUGCGGCUCUGAGCAGCUGAAGCCAGCUGGCUCGCCGUGCCGCCAGGCUGCAGGAGACUGUGACCUCCCUGAGUUCUGCACUGGCUCUUCCCCCACUGUCCCCCGGAUGUUUACCUGCUGGACGGCUUGCCCUGCGCGGGAGGCCAAGGCUACUGCCUGGAUGGCGCGUGUCCCACGCUGGAGCAGCAGUGCGCACAGCUCUGGGGGCCUGGUGAGAGCGUGCCCUAGCAUCUGGCCCCUCCUCGGGUCUGCCCUUUCCUCCCGUAGGCAGGAUCUGCUGAGGAACUGAGGCUCUCAGAGCGUGGACCGGGCUGGGGCUUCGGCUGCGCUGCCCCAGUGCCCCUCUUUGAUCUUCAGGCUCCCGCCCAGCCCCCGAGGCCUGUUUCCAGCUGGUGAACCCCGCGGGAGACGCCACUGGGAAUUGCGGCCAGGAUGGCUCUGGCCGCUUCCUGCCUUGUGCUCAGAGGGACACUCAGUGCGGGAAGCUGCAGUGCCAGGGCGGGGAGCCCAGCCCCCUAGUGCCACACAUCUUGCCUGUGGAGUCCACACUUCACUUAGACGGCCACCAGGUGGCUUGUCGUGCAGCUCUGGUGAUCCCCGAUGCCCAGCUGGACUUGCUGGACUUGGGCCUGGUAGAGCCCGGCACCCAGUGUGGUCCUAGAAUGGUGUGCCAGGACAGGCGCUGCCAGAACACUUCCUCCCAGGAGCUGGAGCGCUGCCUAACUACCUGCCACAACCAUGGGGUUUGCAAUAGCAACCAUAACUGCCACUGCUCUCCAGGCUGGGCUCCACCCUUCUGUGACAAGCCGGGUUCGGUGGCAGUGUGGACAGUGGCCCAGUGCACCCUGAAAAUGGCGACACGUUCCUUCUGGCAGUGCUCUUCAGCUUCCCUGCUCCCUCUGCUCCCCUGGGGUGGGCCUGGCCUGGUGCUACUCCGGCUCCUGGGCUCCACCUCCAGCGAUGCCCCGGGGCUAUAGGAGAGACCAGGAAUGCAGUGGGCCCAAAGAUGGCCCUCUCAGGAACCAUAGCCUGGGUGGCAUUUACCUUGCGCAGUUGGGGUCCGUGGCCAUUGGAGACCCCCAGCCCCUGGGUAAGUGAGGCACCAGGGGAUGUGCAGAGGGAAAGGAAAGGGCAGGAUGGGGUCUUGCCCUCUGCCUCUGUCCCAGUAGGCCUGCCCUCACCACUCAGUACCCAGCCACCUGGAGUCUCCUGUCCUCCACCCAGAUGCAGAGGCUCCUGCCGACUGUGUCAGCAUUCAUUCUCCACUGUUGCUCCCAGACCCUGAGAACUCUGCCCAAGUUCAGCAGUCACCCUGAGAAGCCUGUGCCCUGCUGCCCUUUUUGAUCUACAAGGUAGGGUCAACUCCAAUGCUGAGUCCUCUUCCUCCCAUUGCUCAGCCACUGAUGUCCGCAUCUCAGGCAUCUGGGUUUGGGUUAAAAUGGAAAUGAGACAUCACUUCUUGGAGACCAGGAUGCUAGAAGUCCCUUGGGGCAAGUAUGGGGGAAGUUGUGGUUUUUCCUGGGUCUUGGGUCAUUACUGAAGGGAACAAGGGGUCCCUGCCACAUGAUUUGCAACCUGGGGCCCCAGCCCUUUCUUCUGCAUUAGAAUCUCAGCAGGUCAAGUCUAGACACCAAGAUCCUAUCUGUGGGGGAAAGGUGGCUCCUGAGAUGAGUAGACAGGUGACCACUGACAGCCAUUCCAGGAACUUGGAUCCCAAGGACAGACACAGCGAGUCAACUGAUCUCCUGCACCUUCUGAAGCUUGGAGGUUUCUUCCUGCCUUGUCAAGGAGCUCCAGGACCCAAGCUUCAUCAGAAGUUGCUUGAUGUUGUCCCUGCUCUUGAGGGCUGGGGCAUGCUGGGUACAGCUUCCAGCCCAAGAAUCCAUCCACAAAGGAUUGAAGGUCCCAUAGUCCCCAACCCCCAGCAGGGGAGGCCUCUGUCCUGGGAGCCUGGCUAUGUCUGCUUUGUGCACUUUCCCUCCAUGCAGCUCUCUGGAGGGCAGGGACUCCUGAGACUCAACAUUUCUGAUGGAGCCCACAUUUCCUGGAGCCUGGCCCUUGCAAACAAGCAAGCAAACAAAAUCUUUGAUAUCUCCUUUCUGGUCUCCUCCUACCCGUCCUGUAUCCGGGAAGCUUCUGUAGCCCCUACCCUGACUCCCAGUUCUCCAUCUGAGGUUGUAGAGGGUGUGGCCUUUUGCAGCCCUCUUCACUUGGACUUUACUCAGUCCUCCAUUCUGUAGGAGAGGCCUGAGGAGUCAGGUCAGGAAAGACAGUGUAGAGUCAGAAGAAAGGCAGGCUUCCUGGUGCCUCUGUGAAUCUUUUCUGUUGUAAAUUCAACCCUUGGGGUGUCCUGAGGGGCCACUUGGAGUGAUGUGGUGGGUGGAACCUCCAGUGGUAGCCAGGACACCUGGAUUCAGGAGGGUGUUGCCCAGGUUGAAUUAUCCCUUUGCUUGUCCCUCCUGUCCCUUUGAACAUUCUUGUCUCCUGUUGCUCAUGCCAGAGUUGCUGAGUGAUCUGUAUUAGGCAGCUGUUGCUUUGUAACAAAACCACCUCCAAAACUGAGUUGCUUAAAACAACAGGCAGUACAAUCAUACUUCUGAGGGUGUGAAGAAUUGGAGAAUCUUUGCUGUCUACCAUUGGGAUCCAGAGAAGCGGCAGCCCCAGCUCAUCUAUAGAUUCGUCAUGGUUCCAAUAAACAUCCCAAGACAGUUUUGGUUUUUUGGUGGGGCGGGGGGCUUGACAAACUGCUCCAAAAAUGGACAUGGAACAGCAAAAAUCCAGGAAAAACCAAAAGAAAUUAAAUUAAGAAAAAAGGCCGGGGAUUUAGUUCAGUGGUUCCACCACCUGCCUCUCAAGUGCAAGGACCCAAGUUUGAUCCCAGUACCAAAAAAAUAAAAUAAAUUAAGAAUAAAAUAAGGAACAUUUGGAUGAUGGUAUCAAGAUUUAUUGUAAACUUCUAGUACAGCCAACAGUGAGGGCCACUGUUACUUCAUUACUUACCCUCAAUGCCCAAGCACGAGGGACUAAAUGCAACUACUUUAUGAUGCCACUUCUGUCUCACGGGUACCUGUGGGAUUUUAGUUUAGUGAGAACCCAGAGAAGUUAAGGCCUCUGUGAAAGAAGGUGCUGCUCAGUUCCCUGGAGAGGGAGG
ensembl:lncRNA